CUUUUAGAUCUAUCCCUAUAGAUCCUCAUCCCUAGGAUGUAGGAAGCUUCUCCCAGAUCCUUCAUGGAGAACUGUGACGACAGCCAAAUCUUUAUUCCCUGUAAUGCAGGGACAUCAUUCCCGAUUAAGAGAAUAUCAUCCACAUACAAUACAAGAAAUACCACUACUAGACCAUUAGCCCACUUAUAAAUGCAAGGCUCUUCUCCAUUCUUAACGAAGCCAUACGUCUU
rnacentral:lncRNA from 1 species